AAGUCGUAACAAGGUUUCCGUAGGUGAACCUGCGGAAGGAUCAUUAUCAAAACAGCGGACUUCGGUCCUUGCUGCACCCUUGUCUUUUGCGUACCGUAUGUUUCCUCGGCGGGCUUGCCUGCCGGUUGGACAUUGUCAAACCUUUUUGUAGUUGCAAUCAGCGUCAGAAAACAAACAAUAAUUACAACUUUCAACAACGGAUCUCUUGGUUCUG
rnacentral:misc_RNA from 1 species